rnacentral:rRNA from 1 species
ACGUAGGGGACGAGCGUUGUCCGGAUUCAUUGGGCGUAAAGCGCACGUAGGCGGCUUUGCAAGUCAGAGGUGAAAGCCCGGGGCUCAACCCCGGAAUUGCCUUUGAGACUGCAUCGCUUGAACAUCGGAGAGGUAAGUGGAAUUCCGAGUGUAGAGGUGAAAUUCGUAGAUAUUCGGAAGAGCACCAGUGGCGAAGGCGACUUACUGGACGAUUGUUGACGCUGAGGUGCGAAAGCGUGGGGAGCAAACAGGA